AACAGCUCAAAUUUGAAAUCUGGCUCUCGGGCCCGAAUUGUAAUUUGUAGAGGAUGCUUUUGGCGCGGUGCCUUCCGAGUUCCCUGGAACGGGACGCCUUAGAGGGUGAGAGCCCCGUACGGUUGGACACUAAGCCUCUGUAAAGCUCCUUCGACGAGUCGAGUAGUUUGGGAAUGCUGCUCUAAAUGGGAGGUAAAUUUCUUCUAAAGCUAAAUACCGGCCAGAGACCGAUAGCGCACAAGUAGAGUGAUCGAAAGAUGAAAAGCACUUUGAAAAGAGGGUUAAAUAGCACGUGAAAUUGUUGAAAGGGAAGCGUUUGCGACCAGACCUUUUCCUAGCGGAUCAUCCGGUGUUCUCACCGGUGCACUUCGCUAGGUUUAGGCCAGCAUCGGUUUCUGCGGGGGGAUAAAAGCUUAGGGAACGUGGCUCCUUCGGGAGUGUUAUAGCCCUCUGCAUAAUACCCUCGCGGGGACCGAGGACCGCGCUUUUGCAAGGAUGCUGGCAUAAUGGUCGUCAACGACCCGUCUUGAAACACGGACCAAGGAGUCGAACAUUUGUGCGAGUGUUUGGGUGUUAAACCCUCACGCGUAAUGAAAGUGAACGGAGGUGAGAACCCUUUAGGGCGCAUCAUCGACCGAUCCUGAUGUCUUCGGAUGGAUUUGAGUAAGAGCAUAACUGUUCGGACCCGAAAGAUGGUGAACUAUGCGUGGAUAGGGUGAAGCCAGAGGAAACUCUGGUGGAGGCUCGCAGCGGUUCUGACGUGCAAAUCGAUCGUCAAAUCUGCGCAUGGGGGCGAAAGACUUAUCGAACCAUCUAGUAGCUGGUUACCGCCGAAGUUUCCCUCAGGAUAGCAGUGUUGUUUUCAGUUUUAUGAGGUAAAGCGAAUGAUUAGGGACUCGGGGGCGCUAUAUUGCCUUCAUCCAUUCUCAAACUUUAAAUAUGUAAGAAGCCCUUGUUACUUAAUUGAACGUGGGCAUUCGAAUGUAUCAACACUAGUGGGCCAUUUUUGGUAAGCAGAACUGGCGAUGCGGGAUGAACCGAACGCGGGGUUAAGGUGCCGGAGUGGACGCUCAUCAGACACCACAAAAGGUGUUAGCACAUUUAGACAAUAGGACGGUGGCCAUGGAAGUCGGAAUCCGCUAAGGACUGUGUAACAACUCACCUAUCGAAUGUGCUAGCCCUGAAAAUGGAUGGCGCUCAAGCGUCCCACCCAUACCUCGCCCUCA
rnacentral:rRNA from 1 species